rnacentral:rRNA from 1 species
AGCGGAGGAAAAGAAAUUAACUAAGAUUGCCCCAGUAACGGCGAGUGAAGCGGCAAAAGCCCAAAUUGGUAAUCUUCAUGCUUUGCAUGACGAAUUGUAAACUUAAGGUGGAUUGCUCACCUGUUGACGAUGCAGAAGUUUCCUAGAAUGGAACGCCAGAGAGGGUGAUAGCCCCGUAUGUGGUGUCGUUGACUAACGAGCAGCUACCAUAGAGUCGGGUUGUUUUGAAUUGCAGCCCUAAUUGGGAGAUAGACUUCUUCUAAGGCUAAAUAUAUAUGGGAAACCGAUAGCGAACAAGUACUGUG